rnacentral:ncRNA from 1 species
CAGAGUAGGAUCAGCGCGUUAAGUGCUGCGGGAUGGGAAGUUGCCCGCAGACGAAGCACUUCGGUGCGCGGUGCCGGUCCGCAUCCGCUGC